CUUAAGCUAAUCUCAAACUAGGACCGAGUCCUGCUUWYDACCDCCGCACGAAUUGUGUACGUUCAGCUCGCCAUUCCGGGAAGCCCCAUGUGCUCGCCGCUUGCCCACUCAUUGUGCACCCACUAGACGGAGCAUGAAGCCCUAUUCGGACCCUUUGACCCAGAUUAUGGCCUAUACUGGUGUACGACGUACCACACACCACCUUUCUAAAUAGCCACGCUCUACCCGGGCGCCGGAUAGUCGAACAACCACCCCAUUACCGGAUGGUUCCGCUGCUGCCCAUCGGCUGGACUCUCCCACUGGCCGGUGUGACCCUGACUCUGUGCCGGGUCUGAGGAUGCCCUCCGUCGUCACCCCUUAUAACCUGUUACCCGCGUUGGGAUUAGGUCGUUACGGCGCACACACUUCUUCCGGAAGCCCAACAUUUCGUGAAAAUAGCCCUUGCUUUUCGCAUGCCGAUUAUAGGCACGCACGACUGCCAUGGGCUCCUUAUUCGUGGCCGAUUGAAGCACGGUCGUCGGCGCCAUUAUGCUUCCCACGUUCGCAAUUAGCCUUAAUGACCCGCAUUUCGCACGCAUCCACCAGAAAAUUCAGGCAACACUUUCGGGACCCGAGUUGGACCCUUACCGUCACCUAUGACCCUCCGAUCUCAUGCCAUCUCCUACCACCUUAAGGGCCACAUCGCCACUUUACGCAUCUCUAGCCCUCCUUGUAGUCACCGCUUCCGCCGGUAGACCUGGUCAUGACUGCGACUCCGUGCUUUCGCACCNCUWGUUUGURVURAKRUAUGGGACCAUCAGUUAGUWAUCACUUAMWCWCCWWCGGACGUCCAGCUGGUAUACCCUC
rnacentral:rRNA from 1 species